UUUAGCUUAUCUGCAUCAGUACAGCUACACUAAAAGUGGCAACAACGAAGUAUUUCAGAAUUUAGGUUAGUAUCUUGAAAAAGGCCUUGCUCUUGACCUGGUGCUCCAAUGCGUCUUUCAUGGACUAAAAGAAACAAGAAGCCCAUGAUGAGAACACCAAUCAACACACAACUAUUAAAGGGCCUAUGGACUGAUUCACACAAGAGCAAAUGUUGGACGUACUUUGUUUCCAUGAGGGCCCUGCCGAAUCAGCAAAUGUCGGACGUUUUGCAGGAAAGGCGAACUCUGGCUGAGCGCACCGCUGAACACCAUCUCCAUUGUCUCCAUGAGGGCCGUGCCGAAUCAGAAUUCUUGCAGUAUCUCCAACCAUGAGAAUUCAACAGAAGCUGUGAUGCAGAUCCAUUAACAUCUAACUGAGUGGUUGAGGAUUCGACAUGUCAUGAUGAUUUCUUAUGGACAUCAUGAUGAUAAAUAGUGAUAUCCAUGCUAUCGGUUAACAGUAGAAAAAUAUACUUUGAACCAAAUACCUGCAAUUAUAAGAAAAUUCGACCAUGUUUAAUAGAACAAAUAUACAACUUCCAAAAAUUUCUCAAAAUUGUGGUUAAUUAAAUUCUGGGCAUAUGCUACCUCAACUAAAUUCUAUGGCCAGAUGCAAGUGCAGAAUUGAUGAAACAAAUUAAUUCCUACAUUUUCACCACUAAACAAAUCACAAUUAGUCACACUGAUCUCACUCAUACCCCUGGGUAGCUAUCCAAACUGAAUCCCUGGUCAGUUAAUCACCAGAAUUUACCAAUUAAGAAUUCAAAACACACUCACGCUCUCAUUACUCCAUGUUUGACGUGUAAUAAUAGUCAUGAUAAAAGACUUGGAAUUUGCAGAGUAACAUAUUUCCCUUCUCGCCUCCAAACACACUCAUCCAAGAAUUAAUAGCUUAAAUACCAAAUUGGGACUACUCAAGCUAGCUAGUUUGCUCUAGUUUGUUAGCUAAUCAUGGAGUGUGCGUGGACCUAGCUGGUCUAAUUGAUGGGCUGAAGCCAAAUGCCAGUGCGUUGACACAAAAUCAUAAAAUAUAGACACAAUGAUCAAAUUAUUCUUUUAAUUCAAAAAUAUGUCGUAAGCAUGAUGGCAUCUGGUUUCCAUCAUACAACGACAAAUACUUGUGCAUUGGUAUAGGUCUUCAAUAAAUAAAGCAUUAGUAAGAUAACACAAGUUAUUGCAUGUCUUCUACCUUUCACUCUCUUUGUCUAUCACUUGGCUUCCAUUCUCCCUUUCUCUUUCUCCCUCUCCACCUGCUCCUUGACACAAUG
rnacentral:lncRNA from 1 species